rnacentral:rRNA from 1 species
UUAGUUGCGAACGGGGUGAGUAACGCGUGAAUAACCUGACUCAAAGAGGGGGAUAACACCCGGAAACAGUUGCUAAUACCGCAUAAGACCACAAUGUCGCAUGACGAAGGGGUCAAAGAUUUAUCGCUNUGAGAGGGGUUCGCGUCCGAUUAGGUAGUUGGUGGGGUAAAGGCCUACCAAGACCAUGAUACGUAGCCGACCUGAGAGGGUGAUCGGCCACACUGGGACUGAGACACGGCCCAGACUCCUACGGGAGGCAGCAGUAGGGAAUCUUCCACAAUGGGUGAAAACCUGAUGGAGCAAUGCCGCGUGAAUGAAGAAGGUCUUCGGAUCGUAAAGUUCUGUUAUUAGAGAAGAACAAGUCAAGGAGUAACUGUCUUGACUUUGACGGUACCUAACCAGAAAGUCACGGCUAACUACGUGCCAGCAGCCGCGGUAAUACGUAGGUGACAAGCGUUGUCCGGAAUUAUUGGGCGUAAAGGGAGCGCAGGCGGUUGGAAUAGUCUGAUGUGAAAGCCCACGGCUUAACCGUGGAAGGUCAUUGGAAACUGUCCAACUUGAAUACAGAAGAGGUAAGUGGAAUUCCAAGUGUAGCGGUGAAAUGCGUAGAUAUUUGGAGGAACACCAGUGGCGAAGGCGACUUACUGGUCUGUAAUUGACGCUGAGGCUCGAAAGCGUGGGUAGCAAACAGGAUUAGAUACCCUGGUAGUCCACGCCGUAAACGAUGAGUGCUAAGUGUUAGGGGGGUUCCGCCCCUUAGUGCUGGAGUUAACGCAUUAAGCACUCCG